GACGAACGCUGGCGGCGUGCUUAACACAUGCAAGUCGAGCGGAAAGGCCCUGCUUUUGUGGGGUGCUCGAGUGGCGAACGGGUGAGUAACACGUGAGUAACCUGCCCUUGACUUUGGGAUAACUUCAGGAAACUGGGGCUAAUACCGGAUAGGAGCUCCUGCUGCAUGGUGGGGGUUGGAAAGUUUCGGCGGUUGGGGAUGGACUCGCGGCUUAUCAGCUUGUUGGUGGGGUAGUGUCUUACCAAGGCUUUGACGGGUAGCCGGCCUGAGAGGGUGACCGGCCACAUUGGGACUGAGAUACGGCCCAGAGUACUACGGGGGGCAGCAGUGGGGAAUAUUGCACAAUGGGCGGAAGCAUGAUGCAGCAACGCCGCGUGCGGGAUGACGGCCUUCGAGUUGUAAACCGCUUUCGCCUGUGACGAAGCGUGAAUGACGGUAAUGGGUAAAGAAGCACCGGCUAACUACGUG
rnacentral:rRNA from 1 species